AGCAGCGUGGCUCAGUGGAAAGAGCACGGGCUUGGGAGUCAGAGGUCAUGGGUUCGAAUCCUGACUCUGCCA
rnacentral:tRNA from 1 species